AGAAGAAAUGCCUUCCAUCAAUGAUCGAAGGUCACAGAUAAAAUACUUGGCUUCAAGGAUCCACCUUCCAUUCCACUCUCUGCUAUGAGGGGAAGCAAUACAAAUCCAGAUCUGGCUGCCCAACAUGGGACAUUCCAACUGACGGAAUUCUGAGCCAAGUCACCAUCUCAGCGUUAAACCCAGCUCUCUAUGACAUCACUGGUACCGCCG